CUCGUAGUGCUGGCACGUCUUAUUAAAUCCGUCCGAGGAAAUGCUCAAUCUUCCUCAUAUCCAUGACACCUGUGCACUUGUCGGAUGGCUUACUGAAGACCGCAUGGUUGGAUCUAUCCAUCUACUUUACAUAACAAUUCUGUAACAAAUGUAGUCUUAUUAUAACAUAAUAAAACUUUCAACAACGGAUCUCUUGGCUCUCGCAUCGAUGAAGAACGCAGCGAAAUGCGAUAAGUAAUGUGAAUUGCAGAAAUUCAGUGAAUCAUCGAAUCUUUGAACGCACCUUGCGCUCCUUGGUAUUCCGAGGAGCAUGCCUGUUUGAGUGUCAUGAAACCCUCAACCCUAGAUUGGUUAAAACCUUUCUUUGGUUUGGAUUUGGACGUUUGCCGAUGAUAAGUCGGCUCGUCUUAAAAGUAAUAGCUGGAUCUGUCUCGCGACAUGGAUUGGACUUGGCGUAAUAAGUAAUUCCCUAACGCAUCUUCGGAUGGCCCCGUUGCAGGGCUUAAAAACCCUUUUCUAAACCAUUGGACCUUCGGAUUAAAACCCUUGGGAAAUUGGGCCCAAAAUAACGGGGGGGGAACACCCGUAAAAUUUACUUAUGGGUAAGCGGGGGGGGGGCAAAAAAAAAAA
rnacentral:rRNA from 1 species